rnacentral:rRNA from 1 species
AAACUAACUCACUAGAGUACGAUAGAGGGAGGUAGAAUUCAUAGUGUAGCGGUGGAAUGCGUAGAUAUUAUGAAGAAUACCGGUGGCGAAGGCGGCCUCCUGGAUCUGUACUGACACUGAGGUGCGAAAGCGUGGGUAGCGAACAGGAUUAGAUACCCUGGUAGUCCACGCCGUAAACGAUGACAACUAGCUGUUGGGAGACAAUGUCUUUCAGUGGCGCAGCUAACGUUUUAAGUUGUCCGCCUGGGGAGUACGGCCGCAAGGCUAAAACUCAAAUGAAUUGACGGGGACCCGCACAAGCGGUGGAGCAUGUGGUUUAAUUCGAUGCAACGCGAAAAACCUUACCUACUCUUGACAUACUUGGAAGCUCUUGUAAUGAGAGUGUGCCUUUUGGAACUAAGAUACAGGUGCUGCAUGGCUGUCGUCAGCUCGUGUCGUGAGAUGUUCCGUUAAGUCGGAUAACGAGCGCAACCCUUACCCUUAUUUGCCAGCGAUUCGGUCGGGAACUAUAAGGGGACUGCCGGUGAUAAACCGGAGGAAGGUGAGGACGACGUCAAGUCAUCAUGGCCCUUACGAGUAGGGCUACACACGUGCUACAAUGGGGAAUACAGACGGACGCUAAGCCGCGAGGUGGUGCUAAUCCUAAAAAGUUCUUCGUAGUCCGGAUUGGAGUCUGCAACUCGACUCCAUGAAGUCGGAAUCGCUAGUAAUCGCGAAUCAGCAUGUCGCGGUGAAUACGUUCUCGGGUCUUGUACACACCGCCCGUCACACCAUGGAAGUGGAUUGCACCAGAAGUAGAUAGUCUAACCUUCGGGAGGGCGUUUACCACGGUGUGUUUCAUGACUGGGGUGAAGUCGUAACAAGGUAGC